GCUCUUCAUCCUCGACAACAUGGUCCAUCUCGAGGUGCUGAACAUCUCCCACUGCAUUCUGCUGGAGGCCCCUACUGUGCCAGGCACCAAGCGUGUGGUGAUCGAAGAGGCCCCUACCGUGUCAGGCACCAAGCGUGCAGUGAUCAUCGAUCGCACGAUCAUCGAGAAGGCCGCGUCACGGGUGCGUGAGUUUUACUACUGUCAGA
rnacentral:misc_RNA from 1 species